CUAAACACCAUUCUCAAACAAAGGGUUUUCAUUCCAUUUUCCUUGAUUCCCAUUCUCAUUCUCUUUCCCUUUCCCCUUCUCCAACCAAACGGCCCAUCACAGAGUGUUUACCGCCUCCAUCAUCUUUCUUCAUUUUUUUUAAUAAUUCAUCUCUCUUCAUUGUUAUCCUCAAUUUUUCAACAUUCACAAUUGCAAUUAGAGAUUCCGUUUAAGGUGAUGUCGAUCGGUAUUGAAACCUCAUCUCAUAGGACACAAAUAGGGUCAUAUAUUCGCCAACGUUGACAUUCGGGUUUCCAUAUCAAGGUGACGAUGAUUCCAUUAAUGAGGAUAUGUUGCUAUGAUCAUAAGGUUUUUGACAUCAUCAUACAGACAGUUUCAACUACUCUAUUCAUGGUUACUAGGUUGCGUGAACUGUUGUACAUUGUUAUCUCCCUUGUUUACGAAACGAAGUAACUAUUAUGUUUACUUUAGAGCCUACUUGGAAUUAUUGUGUAAAUUAAAUUUAGGGUGUUGUAUUGUAAUAAUUGUUACUUCAAUGAAAAAGUUAAUUAUUUGGCUAGCUAAUAUAUAUUUUCUUUCAAAGUGGAGUUAA